rnacentral:lncRNA from 1 species
AAAAUGACCAUACAUUAAUAACCUCUAUGAAAUGACACAGAUUCAAAUAAUUUACAACCUUCGAUUUGUUUAAUUCAUGUUAGCAAACAAGUGCCGCAUAUCUAUCAGAAGUUGUAAAAUAAUUAUUACUAAUUACAACAAACGCGGCUUAAAAGCCUUAUCAAUUUUAUGUAAUGCACGCGUACGUUGAUUGUAGGCCCCCUAGUGUUACCACAUGCCGAGAAGUCUUCAAAUGGAAACACAAGAUAAUUAAUGACAAGACGUAGGACACUUAAACUGGAC